GCUCGCGACAGAGACCGUGACCGAGACAGAGAUAGGCGGCGGGUAAAGGAAGAUCGAGAUCGCCUCCGUGACCGCGACCGAGAUCGGGAUCGUACGCGAAGCACGAGGUCAAGAACUCGCUCGCCGGACCGAGAUCGAGAUCGCACGCGGAGCACGAGGUCGCGAACUCGCUCGCCGGACCGAGCUCGAGCAAGGCACACUCGUUCCCGGACUCGCUCGCCAGACAGGCACCAAUCAAGGUCGCCGCCUUCCCACCGCCGCCACCAUCACCAGCGCACGCCGUCGCCUUCGCCUCCGCGGAAGAGGCACCGUCACGAGACCGAGGAGGAACGCGAGAAGGACAGGCAAAGGUCUUCUGAUUUUGUGGACGGGAACUCGAAGAGGAAGGAGAGCAGUACUGGCGGUGCAGGAGUGGCCGAGGGAGAUGGAAACGGUGCUGAGAUGAACCAGGACGAGAUGGAGAUGAUGAAGAUGUUAGG
rnacentral:lncRNA from 1 species